rnacentral:rRNA from 1 species
UACGUAGGUGGCGAGCGUUGUCCGGAUUUACUGGGCGUAAAGAGCGCGCAGGCGGUCGUUCAAGUCGCGUGUGAAAGCCCCCGGCUCAACUGGGGAGGGUCACGCGAUACUGAUCGACUCGAAGGCAGGAGAGGGAAGUGGAAAUUCCCGGUGUAGUGGUGAAAUGCGUAGAUAUCGGGAGGAACACCAGUGGCGAAGGCGACUUCCUGGCCUGUUCUUGACGCUGAGGCGCGAAAGCUAGGGGAGCAAACGGG